UGUUCAAGUUUUUUUUAAUCCUCUCUGGGAGCGUUCUUCUCUUUUUUCUUUUUUUUUUUUUUUUCUUUUCACUAUAUCAAUUAGGAGGUUGUCUAUGUGAUUUCAUUUGUUAAAAAUGAAACUGCAAUUAGUAUAUGUUCCUUUUCCUAGCCACAAGUACCAUUCUCUUCUGGUGUUUAUUUCUUUUUAGUUUAUCCAACAAUUGGAAAGCAAAAUUUUGUUUAUAUUCAUCUUGAUUGUCCUGAUUUCAAAAGAAUUCCAUUAAUUUUCCAAACUCAUCAACUCUCUUAAUGUAACCAAUUAUAAAACUCAAGUACGAAAAGCUUGGCAUCUUCUUCAAACAACUGGAGGUUGUCUAUGUUUCAUCUACCUCCAUUCCUGAGGAAGGUGAGAAGCUUCUAGGAACAGUGUUCAUAAUUAUUUCCAUCAAGAGGAUCAAGUUGUUUGGAGAGAUCAUCAGACAAUACUUCUAUAAUGAGUGCAACCGUGGUGAAAUUCUUCAAGUAAUCAAAGUAUUAACUUUAAUAUUUUUGGUUUCAUAUCAAAUUGAUACAAGGAGUUCAUAUAGUCAAUUUGAGUUGGAUGAAGUGCGUAUGGAGCUUGUUGAUUUUUUGGAUGGCCACAUUUGAUUUUAUGGUGAAUUAAAUAUAUUUUGGGUUAGAUAGACAAGUUUUUGUUAAUACUGGAUAUAUAUAGGUGUGAUAUUUUGUUGAUAUAUAUUUGGAUAUAUCUAGGUGAAUUAGUUUAGUUGAUAUUUUUGUUGAUACACCUAUAGUUAGGCUACACCUAUAGUUAGGCUGCUAGCUGUUGUUAGAAAAGUUAGGCUAACUACAUGUAUGUAUAUGGGUCCAUUGAUAUUAUAUAUGUUAAAAUAUUAUUAAAAGUUCUUUGAUGGAAAAAGUUAGUUCAUUCAAUUGUUCAACUAAUGUGUACUUUAGCACAUUUGUACAUGUACUCUCUUGCAUUACUUAUAUACAUUUGGCUUCAAAACAGGUGAACGAAACAUUAUGAAGAUAUUUUAAAAUAUAUAAUUUUAAAAAAAACUUGACUUGCAAAACAUGUCAAGGGUACAUACAUUUUUGAUAUGCAAAAAAUGUCACAAAAUCACUUGUACUUGAUGUUUAUAAACUGUCAAGUAUAACUCUACUUGACGCUUAAAAUCUGUCAAACAAAUCACUCUUAUUCUUGACACUGGAUUACUUGACGAUUAAAAAGUGUCAAGUAAUCUCAUAUACUUGACGCCUUUUACCUGUCAAGUAAACUGGGCCUACUUGACGCUUAAAAACAGUCAAGUAUACCUUCCUUAUUCUUGACACUGAAUUACUUGACACUUUUAAAAGCAUCAAGUAAAUCUUUACUUAAAAGUUUUUAAGAUUCAACUAAGGCAGAUUUUGUAGUAGGACUUGGGGUCAAUGAAGAAAUUUCUUGCAAUUUGAAUAAUUCGAGACAGAGCAUCCAAGAAGUUAUAUAUGUCACAGGAGCAAUACAAGACAAGUCAAGCAAAAUCAGUUAGUUCUCCUUUACCUAGUCACUUCAAACUUAGCAGUAAACAGAGCCCUUCUACAAAUAAAAAGAAUGAGGAUAUGAACAUUGUAUGUCUAAUCCAGGAAAACAACAUUGGGAGGUAGUCAAGUGCAUCAUGAGAUAUUUGAGAGGUACUUCCAGUUUGAAGCUCACAUUUGGGGACGAAAAGCCAGUACUUGCUGGGUAUACUGAUUUAGAUAUGGUAGGAGACUUAGAUAGCAAAAAGUCUACUUCUGAUUACUUGAUGGCAUUUGUAGGUGGUGCAGUGUCUUGGUAGUCAAGAUUUGCAGAAAUGUGUUGCACUUUCUACAACUGAAGCAGAGUAUAUUGCAGCAAAAGAAGCAUGUAAAGAGAUGUUGUGGAUGAAGUGCUUUAUAUAGGAACUUGGUUUCAAGCAACAAGGAUAUGUGAUAACUAGAGUGCUAUUCACAUUGGUAAGAAUGCUUUAUUUCAUUCCAGAACAAAAGGAUAUUGAUGUGAGAUAUCAUUGAACUUUUUAUUUCACUUUGGAGCCCAGCCCACACCUUGGUUUAGGGUUUUUUUUAUGCAAUUGAAAAAAACAAAGUGAUUGUGAGUGACGACAGCAUAGUGUGAAAAAAUUGAAAAAGCAAAUUCCAUGCAGUUCAUAUUUAAGCCAUUUGGGGAUUAAUUUGUGGUUCGAUUGAGUUGAAAUUUUGACGAUAUAUUCUUGGCACGAGGAUCUUCAUUCUGAACAGUAGAGAUAUGUAUAUAGUCAGAUUCUAUUGGAUAGUUGGCUACCACAUAUUGUGAGAUCUUUCUAUUUCUUUCAUUGUUAUCAGGAUUUUUAUUCUCAAUAUAUUUGCCUCUAGUUGUGACUAAAGAGAACUUUGUUGUACCCAUUAAAGAUUAUAGUGGAGAAUUUUUACUUCGGUCCGUAGUUUUUUACUCCUCAUGUUGAGGGAGAUUUUUCCACGUUAAAUUCGUUGUGUCCAUACUUUGAUAA